AGGCAUUUGGAAAAGAGAAAGACCAAUCGACGAAACAUUUCGACGAGCGUUCAAAUUUCGUCGACGAUGAUUGGCUGGGUAAGGUAUUGAAGCCUGUGUGUUAUACGCGAAGCCCGCCAGCUGACAAUUGGUAAACGAACGGAAACGGCGGAAGCAAAUCUUCACAGCGUGCGGCAUUUGGAAACCAACACGAUCGGAGCAGCCAGGCGAACAUGGAACCGGCAAACGUUUGUCGCAAAAGGUCACGAUUAUUUCAGCAGUGGUUCUUAUUCCCUCAAUUUGUUACAUGACCGCAUUCCGCUUGUGGCGCGAGUUUUGGAAAAUAUGGUGAAUCUUCGUACAACAAUCAUGCAAGCAGGAGCGCUAGCUAGCACCUGAAAGUAAUGAUGUGCCGGGAAAGAUACGGGAGUUUGCAGCCGGUUUCCUGAGCAGCAGGAAUGUGCUUUUGGCGCGGGAGUUACACGACCAACAGGCACAUAGUUGGCACAGCAUGAGGAAUAGUCGGGACCAUCCCUACAACUAAGCCAACGGACGAUUGACGAGUUUUCCCCUGGAACUAUCCAUUAUCUGUGCCAGUGCUAUUAACAAGAUCGGCACUCUAGCUGUACUUUACGUACACGCAAGCGAGAUAUGAUGCGCGCGUAUCCUGUGUUGCAUUCCUCAAACGAUCGAUGUGCCGGCUCCAUAUGGAAGUUGCAUUAUUUUGCAGGAUAAAAACAGUGCAUUGAAGAUAUCCCGCGAGAUAUACGUUUGCUAGAAUCAUGUUUUGCUUGAAACAUAAAAAAACGCAUAUUUUACACGACAUAACUA